rnacentral:piRNA from 1 species
AACUAGUCGAGAUUAACCAGACCUCU